rnacentral:lncRNA from 1 species
AUGAAGCAGGAGGGGAAGGCAGUGCCGCUUGUUUGCAGGUAUGUCCCUUUGAUGUCUGACCCUGGCAGUUGCUACCUGAAAAUAUUCACUGCGGAUUGGAAACCAUCAAGAAGCGACAACCAAACAGUGGCCCACAGUAGCAUAUCAUUUCCAAAGUUUAAACGCAGAUAUGUCACUGGAGGUGCGCAACCAUCUUGGAAGACAUCAUUCCUGGCACUGUGGAGUUACUGAACCAGCCUUCACAGCUUCCUACCUCUGAUUUCUUGCAGCAUGAUAAAAGUACACCUCUAAUUAAAACAUUCGAGGUAUUUUUUUUUCCUCUUUCCAUUCCUUGCAGUCGAGUAGAAUUGUAAGUCAUAUACAGAAUCCACCACAGGCACAUGGGGCUUUUCCUUACCAUUUUCUACACUUCCUGACUGUGUCCCUUUUUUUUUUUUUUUUUUUUUUUUGGACAGGCAGAAUGGACAGUGAGAAAGAGAGACAGAGAUAAAAGUCUUCCUUUUGCUGUUGGUUCACUCUCCAAUGGCCGCCGUGGCCAGCGCGCUGCGGCCGCCGCACCGCGCUGAUCCAAUGGCAGGAGCCAGGUGCUUAUCCUGGUCUCCCAUGGGGUGCAGGGCCCAAGCACCUGGGCCAUCCUCCACUGCACUCCCUGGCCACAGCAGAGAGCUGGCCUGGAAGAGGGGCAACUGGGACAGAAUCCGGCGCCCCGACUGGGACUAAAACCAGGUGUGCCGGCACCGCAAGGCGGAGGAUUAGCCUACUGAGCCGUGGCGCAGGCCCUGACUGUGUCCUUGACUUUAGUUCCCAACUACACAAAACAAGGCUAACAAGAGCAUUUACCUCACUGACCGUGGUGAGACUGAAAUGAACAAAGAGCUCAUUGCUCACUCUGGCACACUGGAAGCUGUCAGAAAGUGUUACUAUGCAAAGGUUUUUUUAAAAAAAUAUUUGAAGAACUCUAUAAGAUGGGCUGCAAAGGAUAAGGAGCAAGUAUGUC